AUUGUUGUGCCAGUGCCCGGCCUACAAAACGCGCACAUACCUCGUGACUGGGAACCAGCGACAAAUCGAUAUAGUGCAUGCUGGGCAGCACGAGUUUGUACGGUCUCUUGUGCACGGGACGUUGAGGUGAGUAGAUGUGUUUAUGUGCCUAUGUCCCUAUGUGAGUAUUGUGUGUGAAAUAGUGAGCCUGCGUAUAGUUUAUAUUGUAUUAUAUGGUAUUGUAUUGUAUAUGUGUGUCGGUAACUGUGAGCCUGUAAUUGUGAACCUGUGCGUGUAACCCUGAGUACGUAAGUAGUUCCAGGGGGUUUAGCCUGUGUAUGUAAGCCAGUGUCUAGCUGUGAGCCUGUGCGUAUUGUAUUAUAUUGUAUUUUAUGUGCGUUCAACACGUAUUUACCUGGAAGGCCAUUCCCAGAAGAUAUAAGUGAGUCUGUGACUGUGUAUGUAAGCCGGUGACUGUGUGUUUAAGUACGUGUUUGCCUGGAAGUGUAUUCCCAGAAGUACAUGUAUAGUGCCAUUUCGUGACGUGGACGAGCCGACAAGUGUACCCGACGAGCCGACGAGUGCACCCGACGAGCCGACGAGUGUACCCGACGAGCCGACGCGUGAAGCCGACAAGUUCCCUCGAAGACGACGAGGACGAUUGGUGCCGUCCAGACGUGGAUUCCAGUCGAUGUCUAUACGUUGCGCAGACAGAGAGGUCGGACGAAAGCUGGCCGGCAUGCAGACCUGACUUUGAGGUGUUAGGUCAAGGUGCUUACGCGAGGGGCACUAUUACUUCAUCGGUAGCUCCGGUACGAUUCCUUCGCCGUGUGGCGUCGUCCCAAAAGGAGAAAAGUGGGAGGAGUGUUGUGCCAGUGCCCGGCCUACAAAACGCGCACAUACCUCGUGACUGGGAACCAGCGACAAAUCGAUAUAGUGCAUGCUGGGCAGCACGAGUUUGUACGGUCUCUUGUGCACGGGACGUUGAGUGCCAUUUCGUGACGUGGACGAGCCGACAAGUGUACCCGACGAGCCGACGAGUGCACCCGACGAGCCGACGAGUGUACCCGACGAGCCGACGCGUGAAGCCGACAAGUUCCCUCGAAGACGACGAGGACGAUUGGUGCCGUCCAGACGUGGAUUCCAGUCGAUGUCUAUGUGUCUACAGCUACAGACAUAUGACGGGGACUCUGUUCACACGAGUACAGGUUGCGAUCGUCUUCCGGUAGGAGAUCGACAUCGUGAAAGACGAAGCACUGAUAGUCAUAGUCCUUUAAUGCCUCU